AUCGUUUUAUGAUGCGGGAUUCAAUGAUAUCUUCGGCAAAAUAUGCUGCAUACAUGAUAUCUGUCUCCUCAUCUUCUGUUAUUUUUUGUAAAGAAAAAUCCUAUUGUAAGGAAGUAACUUUUUCGACAAGUGAUUCAAUUUGCUGCUUCUCAUCAAGAAUCAAAUAUUGAUAAUCACGAUUUAGGGUCUGGCGUAGAAUUUGAGCAAGAGAACAAAGAGCACCAUAAGCCAUCUCUCAUACGUGCUCAAAGUAUUGAAAGACAGAAGAUUGAAGCAAACAGCUUCGUUAUAGCAACAAAUUAAGGAAGUAUUUAGCGAAAGUAAAGAGCUAUUUGCAGUUUCUUAAUUGAAUAAGAUGCUUGAAAAACAGAGUUGACUACAGAGUUACAAUAAAGUCAUUGUCUAUGUAAUUGACAGACUUCCCACCAAAUUAAAAAGUGCGAAGUUCAAA
rnacentral:lncRNA from 1 species